UCUAUCUAGAGGGCAAUUUGCUACAAGAGUUGCCAGAGGAAUUAUUUGAUCACCUGCCACAGCUUGUCUGGUUAGACUUACGAAAGAAUAAACUGGAGAAACUGCCUGCUGCCAUUGGAAAGCACAGAUGUCUUCGAGCACUACUUUUGGAGACAAAUCCACUUAGAGAGUUACCUAUUGAACUAGGAAAUGUACAAUCCCUUAAAGCACUUAAUCUGAGGAACUGUCCACUCCAAUUUCCACCUUCGGAAGUAGUGAAUUUAGGCACACAAGUUAUUCUUUCCUUUCUUCGGGAGCAAGCUUGUAAACCUCUUCUUCAAACUCUAAAUAUAGAAACAGGUAGCACUUGAAAAUCUAUAAUUAUUUUUAAUUUUCAGAAUUUAAGUAGACAGUUUCAAAAGGACAAUUUAAUGUAUAUUUUUGAUCACAAAAGCUAUUGUAUAGAAAAUGAAAUCCUGCUGCUUCACAUGUCUGGAUUAAUGAUAAUACAAAUUACAUGAGACAAUCCUUUUAUCAAACAUCAAUCUGAACAUUCCGUUCAGCAUACUAUUCAAACCGUUUAUAUUCUGUAGCCAAACCCAUUACAUUUGGAGUUGGUACCUUUCUAAAAGAAUUUGGGACAAAAGCUAAGCAAUGUUUUUAAAAUAAACCGUGCAAUGAUUCAAUAUCAGAAGAGAUCAGCAAGAAUUAAUAGUUAUCUGAAUGAUGCAACAAAUAGCAGUAAAUUAGAGAUGGGUGGCAUAAACAGUGAAAUUCUACUUAUUUGAGUGCACAAAAAAUGGGAAGUAAUUGAACAACACUGUGGGCAGCACCUUAGUGCAGCUAUUAGAGCAGCUGACUCACAUU